AGUGAACGCUGGCGGUAGGCCUAACACAUGCAAGUCGAACGGCAGCACAGUAAGAGCUUGCUCUUACGGGUGGCGAGUGGCGGACGGGUGAGGAAUACAUCGGAAUCUACUUUUUCGUGGGGGAUAACGUAGGGAAACUUACGCUAAUACCGCAUACGACCUACGGGUGAAAGCAGGGGAUCUUCGGACCUUGCGCGAUUGAAUGAGCCGAUGUCGGAUUAGCUAGUUGGCGGGGUAAAGGCCCACCAAGGCGACGAUCCGUAGCUGGUCUGAGAGGAUGAUCAGCCACACUGGAACUGAGACACGGGCCAGACUCCUACGGGAGGCAGCAGUUGGGAAUAUUGGACAAUGGGCGCAAGCCUGAUCCAGCCAUACCGCGUGGGUGAAGAAGGCCUUCGGGUUGUAAAGCCCUUUUGUUGGGAAAGAAAAGCAGCAGGUUAAUACCCCGCUGUUCUGACGGUACCCAAAGAAUAAGCACCGGCUAACUUCGUG
rnacentral:rRNA from 1 species